GAGCUUUAGCUACACAGGUUCCUUAAAGGCAGAAAGCAGGACACGUGGUCACACACAGCUAUCUCGCCUCACCCUCUAACAGGCUUUAUCUCUAUUUCGGGGAAUUUGUAUUUAUUCUGGACUUCUACAAACUCUUCUAGGAAUAUUAAAUUUAUCCAACAUUUGUGACAUAAUGUAUCUUUUAAAAUUUCAGGUUGAUAGAUCCACAGACUCAAGUAUCAAGGGCCAAUUUUGAACUUACCAGUGUCACACAAUUUGCUGCUCAUCAAGAAAACAAGAGACUGGUUGGUUUUGUCAUCCGUGUUCCUGAAUCCACUGGAGAAGAAUCUCUGAGUACAUACAUUUUUGAAAGCAACUCAGAAGGCGAAAAGAUAUGUUAUGCUAUUAAUUUGGGAAAAGAAAUUAUUGAGGUUCAGAAGGAUCCAGAAGCACUGGCUCAAUUAAUGCUGUCCAUACCACUAACCAAUGACGGAAAAUAUGUACUGUUAAACGAUCAACCAGAUGACGAUGAUGGAAAUCCAAACGAACAUAGAGGCGCAGAAUCCGAAGCAUAACUCACUUGCGCCUGUGGGGGAAGAGCAAACAGGAAGGAGAGCUACCUCCUAAGGGUUUUAACGUCUCUGACAUACAGGCACACUGACCUGAUUUCCGAAGGCUGACAAUCGUUUGUGGAAUGUAAUCUUGAUGCCUUGAUACUGAGACUUGGGAGGGAAACUAAGAAAUGGUUGACAGCGUUCCCACCCAUCUACAAUGUUAUUUUAGGUGCUUUGUGGUAAGUCUUUUUUCUUAGAUUGCGCUAAAAUUUCUUAGAUUGUUCAGCGCUCAGAACAAAAGUUUGAAAAAUGCAUUGU
rnacentral:lncRNA from 1 species